rnacentral:rRNA from 1 species
AGUUAGUUGGUAAGGUAACGGCUUACCAAGACAAUGAUACGUAGCCGACCUGAGAGGGUAAUCGGCCACAUUGGGACUGAGACACGGCCCAAACUCCUACGGGAGGCAGCAGUAGGGAAUCUUCCACAAUGGACGAAAGUCUGAUGGAGCAACGCCGCGUGAGUGAAGAAGGUUUUAGGAUCGUAAAACUCUGUUGUUGGAGAAGAACAGGGACUAGAGUAACUGUUAGUCCUUUGACGGUAUCCAACCAGAAAGCCACGGCUAACUACGUGCCAGCAGCCGCGGUAAUACGUAGGUGGCAAGCGUUGUCCGGAUUUAUUGGGCGUAAAGCGAGCGCAGGCGGUUUUUUAAGUCUGAUGUGAAAGCCUUCGGCUUAACCGAAGAAGUGCAUUAGAAACUGGGAAACUUGAGUGCAGAAGAGGACAGUGGAACUCCAUGUGUAGCGGUGAAAUGCGUAGAUAUAUGGAAGAACACCAGUGGCGAAGGCGGCUGUCUGGUCUGCAACUGACGCUGAGGCUCGAAAGUAUGGGGAGCGAACAGGAUUAGAUACCCUGGUAGUCCAUACCGUAAACGAUGAAUGCUAAGUGUUGGAGGGUUUCCGCCCUUCAGUGCUGCAGCUAACGCAUUAAGCAUUCCGCCUGGGGAGUACGACCGCAAGGUUGAAACUCAAAGGAAUUGACGGGGGCCCG